GAUGAACGCUGGCGGCGUGCCUAAUACAUGCCAGUCGAGCGAACAGACGAGGAGCUUGCUCCUCUGACGUUAGCGGCGGACGGGUGAGUGACACGUGGAUAACCUACCUAUAAGACUGGGAUAACUUCGGGAAACCGGAGCUAAUACCGGAUAAUAUAUUGAACCGCAUGGUUCAAUAGUGAAAGACGGUUUUGCUGUCACUUAUAGAUGGAUCCGCGCCGCAUUAGCUAGUUGGUAAGGUAACGGCUUACCAAGGCAACGAUGCGUAGCCGACCUGAGAGGGUGAUCGGCCACACUGGAACUGAGACACGGUCCAGACUCCUACGGGAGGCAGCAGUAGGGAAUCUUCCGCAAUGGGCGAAAGCCUGACGGAGCAACGCCGCGUGAGUGAUGAAGGUCUUCGGAUCGUAAAACUCUGUUAUUAGGGAAGAACAAAUGUGUAAGUAACUAUGCACGUCUUGACGGUACCUAAUCAGAAAGCCACGGCUAACUACGUG
rnacentral:rRNA from 1 species